GUCCCCGCGCCGCGCUCCGCGCGCCUCCCAGCACAGUGCCCUCGCGGCGGCAGAUGAGUGUGGGGUCAGCCCACGGCGGGGACUAUGGUGAAAUUCCCGGCGCUCACGCACUACUGGCCCCUGAUCCGGUUCCUGGUGCCCCUUGGCAUCACCAACAUAGCCAUCGACUUCGGGGAGCAGGCCUUGAACCGGGGCAUUGCUGCANCAUUCUCUUAAAACACAAAUACAGUUUCCUGGUGGGAUGUGCCUCAAUCUCAGAUGUCAUAGCUCAGGUAACUAUGGUCUGUGUGUCUGUCACAGCUUCUCAGAGUGGCCUUCUGAUGAAUGACCAGCUAGGCGGAAGUGAGUGUGGAGCCAUAUUCACAGUUAUGUCAGGGUGGUGCUUCCCAGCCUUUGCCUCAUACCCCAUACGGA
rnacentral:lncRNA from 1 species